rfam:Triticum aestivum genome assembly, contig: Triticum_aestivum_CS42_TGACv1_scaffold_320342_4BL
UAAUUACUCCCUCCGUCCGGAAUUACUUGUCACAGAAAUAAAUAAAAAUGGAUGUAUCUAAAACUAAAAUACGUCUAGAUACAUUCAUUUUCUCGAUAAGUAUUUCCAGACGGAGGAAGUAUUCA